AUGAUACCAAAACUCAUUAGCUGGAAUGUAAGGGGACUUAAUGAAGUUGAAAAAAAGCUAGGUGUUUGAAAUCUUAUAAGGGGAUGGGGAGCGGACCUCGUCUGCCUACAAGAAACUAAGUUGAAGUUCAACUCGAGGGCCGUGGUCAGUAACUUAUAGGGGGGACAGCAUGUAGGUACCAGUUCUUGUGGUCAUCGGGGACAUUAGGAGGCGUCCUAGUCAUGUGGGACUCUAGAGUGCUUGAGAUGGAGGAGGUGUGUGUAGGGUCAUUUUCUAUAUCGAUAUCGUUUAGAAAUAUUGGGGAUGGUUUUCACUGGAUGUUCAUAGAAGUUUAUGGGCCUAAUUCUGAUGACUGUAUAGGGGGCUUAUGGGAUGAGAUGGCUGGAAUGAUGGUGGUGGAAUCUCCCAACGUGUAUUAGGGAUGAUUUUAAUGUGGUUCGAUUUCCUAUUGAAAGGUCGAGUGGUGGGAGACUAACCAGGGCUAUGGAGGAUUUUUCAGAUUUUAUUAGGGAAAAUAUGUUGGUAGAUUUGCCCAUGAUUGGAGGAGAGUUUACUUGGUCAUCUAAUCGGAACCAAAUGUUCUUUCUCAUAUAGACAGAUUCUUAAUUUGUGGAGAGUGGGAGGCCAAGUAUUCAGACGUCAUUCAAAGGAGAUUGGGGAGGGUGUACUCUGAUCACUUCCCUAUUAUGCUUUCUGGGAAUAGUAAGGGUAGUGGAAGAAUGCCUUUUAGGUUUGAGAAUAUGUGGUUGAAAGUAGAAGGUUUUUGAGAACGAGUACGGGUUUAGUGGGCAUCUUAUGAAGUCGGGGGAUCUCCCAGUUUUGUGUUGGAUCAGAAGUCGAAGGCUUUGAAAGAAGAUUUAAAGAGAUGGAGUGAGGAGAUUGUCGGCAAUGUGAACUGUCGUAAAAUUCAAUGUCUUUCAGAUAUAGAAGAAUUGGAUAGGGGGCUUGUGGGAUGAGCUGGCUGGAAUGAUGGCGUGGCGGAAUCUCCCAACGUGUAUUGGGG
rnacentral:lncRNA from 1 species